rnacentral:misc_RNA from 1 species
AUUCAACCAUGCGCAUCCUCGCACCCAAGUCUUCUUCGAACACCUCUAUCCUGUUCAACGUCAGUGCCCAAGGUCGAACAGCCGAUAACGAUAACACAUAAAGCACAGAAAUUAUCAACUACGAAUCCAAAAACGGAAAGCAGGCGGUUUAUUAUCUCAUAUCAUCUCAUUUUUCUAUCAAUCCAACGGCUGAUAUUCAACGGCGAUUUUCCCCUUCCCAGUGUAUCUUUUAUUUCUUAGAGAAUAACUUAUAAAUAAACGUACCAUUUAAUUUGUUUGGUUACGUAGGGUUUUGUGGGAGGGAUCAUGUCAUCGAUGAUCGAAACUCUAAGGCCAAUAACGCACACGAAGUUUCAAGCUAAUUCCACCUCUAACCUUCACUAUUCCUAUGGUUUGUGCCCUUUCCGUUGCCGGUCUAGGGUUUUUCUCCACCACUGUUCGCAUCGUUGUAUUCCUUAUCAGGUGUCGUUUCCUCCUGUGGUUUCUUCCAAAACGCUUCUUCAAGGAGGCGGAAGAGGGUUGAGUGUUUGGGGAAGAGGUUUUUUAAGGAAUCAGAAGAUAAGAGAGUAUAGAAUUUUGGCUAACUGUCAAGAUAGUGAUUCUACUGCAAGUUCCGGCGAAAAAAGGAGCGAGAGCGAAGGCCAGAAGGUGAGUAAUAAUCCGCCGAAUUCGGGGUCAAAGCAGAGGAGAGAGAAGCAAGGGAAGAGUCAUUGGUGGUGGUCGAAGAAACAGAGCUGGAAAUGGCAACCGUUGAUUCAAGCGCAGGAAAUUAGUGUCUUGCUUUUGCAAUUAGGGAUAGUUAUGUUCGUCAUGCGGUUGCUUCGGCCUGGGAUCCCUUUACCUGGGUCGGAACCGAGGCAACCGACGACUUUUAUUAGUGUGCCGUACAGUGAGUUUUUGGGCAAGAUUAAUAGUAAUCAAGUGCAGAAA